GAGGGCAUGGGUCAUUUACAAUAGUUUUGUCUCUGAAGAAGGAUCACGUGUUUCGAUGAUGAGAAACGAAGAAAGCAAGGCGAAUGAACUUUGAAAAUGUUGCACGUUUUAUUGUGUUUCUGGUUCGUUGAAAGCAAAACGUGAAAAGAGAAUAGACUUUAUCGGCCAUUAUCUGGAAAGCAGAAAAAAGGCGCCAAUUCUUUGCCGGCAGUUGAUGGUGCCAGAAAACUUUGAUAUGUGGAACGAUGUGUGAUGGGAGCCUGGCAACAAACACUGCAUAAACCUCCUGAUGAUAACAUUCAUGCAGCUCGUCCCCCAGCAGCCAGCCAAUUUUUGACGACGGCGGUGGUGAUCUUGGUGCCACCGGAAGCUCCGACAACCGAACGCACUUUGCCCGUGGCCGAAUCGACGAUGAUGGUGGGCGUCAUGGAAGAUAAGGGCCGUUUGCCCGGCUCGAUGAAAUUGGCCUCACUGG